rnacentral:rRNA from 1 species
AACGAACGCUGGCGGCAUGCCUAAUACAUGCAAGUCGAGGGGCAGCACGGUUAGCAAUAACUGGUGGCGACCGGCGCACGGGUGCGUAACACGUAUACAAUCUACCUUAAACAGGGGGAUAGCCUUUCGAAAGAGAGAUUAAUACCCCGUAAUAAAUUGAACGGCAUCGUUUGAUUUUGAAAGCUCCGGCGGUUUGAGAUGAGUAUGCGUCUGAUUAGCUAGUUGGUGAGGUAACGGCUCACCAAGGCGACGAUCAGUAGGGGAUCUGAGAGGACUAACCCCCACACUGGUACUGAGACACGGACCAGACUCCUACGGGAGGCAGCAGUAAGGAAUAUUGGUCAAUGGGAGGCAACUCUGAACCAGCCAUGCCGCGUGCAGGAUGACGGCCCUAUGGUUGUAAACUGCUUUGACCAGGGCCAAAAUACUACAUGCGUGAGGAAUUGAGAGUACUGGUAGAAUAAGCACCGGCUAACUCGUGCCAGCAGCCGCGGUAAU